rnacentral:tRNA from 1 species
GGGCACAUAGCUCAGUUGGGAGAGCGUCAGACUGAAGAUCUGAAGGUCGCCGGCUCGAUCCCGGCUGGGCCCA